AAAUCUCUCAAGAGUA
rnacentral:misc_RNA from 1 species